rnacentral:pre_miRNA from 1 species
AUACAAAUCAUCUGGGAAUCUUGUUAAAAUGCAGAUUCUGAUUUGGGAGGUUGAAGAUUCUGCAUUUCUAACAAGUUGCUCCUGGUUCAAAA